rnacentral:rRNA from 1 species
UCUCCUUCGGGAGUGACGCUUGUGGAACGAGCGGCGGACGGGCUGAGUAACACGUGGGCAACCUACCUGUAAGACUGGGAUAACUCCGGGAAACCGGGGCUAAUACCGGAUGAAACAAAGCGUCGCAUGACGCAAUGUUAAAAGGCGGCAUAUGCUGUCACUUACAGAUGGGCCCGCGGCGCAUUAGCUAGUUGGUGAGGUAAAGGCUCACCAAGGCAACGAUGCGUAGCCGACCUGAGAGGGUGAUCGGCCACACUGGGACUGAGACACGGCCCAGACUCCUACGGGAGGCAGCAGUAGGGAAUCUUCCGCAAUGGACGAAAGUCUGACGGAGCAACGCCGCGUGAGUGAUGAAGGUUUUCGGAUCGUAAAACUCUGUUGUUAGGGAAGAACAAGUGCCAUUCGAAUAGGUUGGCACCUUGACGGUACCUAACCAGAAAGCCCCGGCUAACUACGUGCCAGCAGCCGCGGUAAUACGUAGGGGGCAAGCGUUGUCCGGAAUUAUUGGGCGUAAAGCGCGCGCAGGCGGUCCUUUAAGUCUGAUGUGAAAGCCCACGGCUUAACCGUGGAGGGCCAUUGGAAACUGGAGGACUUGAGUACAGAAGAGGAGAGUGGAAUUCCACGUGUAGCGGUGAAAUGCGUAGAGAUGUGGAGGAACACCAGUGGCGAUGGCGACUCUCUGGUCUGUAACUGACGCUGA